CAGCAGCCGCGGGAAUACGGAGGGAGCUAGCGUUGUUCGGAAUUACUGGGCGUAAAGCGCGCGUAGGCGGUUACUCAAGUCAGAGGUGAAAGCCCGGGGCUCAACCCCGGAACUGCCUUUGAAACUAGGUGACUAGAAUCUUGGAGAGGUCAGUGGAAUUCCGAGUGUAGAGGUGAAAUUCGUAGAUAUUCGGAAGAACACCAGUGGCGAAGGCGACUGACUGGACAAGUAUUGACGCUGAGGUGCGAAAGCGUGGGGAGCAAACAGGAUUAGAUACCCGUGUAGUCCCUGUCUCUUAUAC
rnacentral:rRNA from 1 species